CGUAAAAUAGAACCCUUGUGCCUCCUUGAGCAGCCGUACUCUCUGUUAGGGUUUGCCUCCUCGCCGCUUCCACGUUCGCUCAAGCUGUUCUUAUCCCACCUUCUAGGAUCUGCUCUCUAAACUGUGGUGCUCGUAGUCUAAGAGUCGAGGUCUUUCCGCUAGCUCUUUCCAAAUGUGAGAAUCCCUGACAGUGGAGAUGGUAAUAGGAAUGCUGCAGCUUGAUGGAUUGAACGGGUGUUGGGCCCCACAUUACUGGAGGAUUAUAUUAUUUAUGUUUUCUUGUCCGAUCAAGACCUAGUAAUUUUAAUUUUGUUCUUUUCAGUAUUUUGUUCUGGUUGGGUCAUGUGGGGCCCUUUCCUUGUAAUCCGGGUAUAAUGGACGUAUUGUAUACCUUUGUAUCCAAAACUCUGUACUCUCUGAAUAUUCAUGUAUGUGAUGA